rnacentral:rRNA from 1 species
CCUACGGGAGGCAGCAGUAGGGAAUAUUGGUCAAUGGGCGAGAGCCUGAACCAGCCAUGCCGCGUGCAGGAAGAAGGCCCUCUGGGUUGUAAACUGCUUUUGACAGGGGCCAAAAUACUCAUGCGUGAGGAAUUGAGAGUACCUGUAGAAUAAGCACCGGCUAACUCCGUGCCAGCAGCCGCGGUAAUACGGAGGGUGCAAGCGUUGUCCGGAUUUAUUGGGUUUAAAGGGUGCGUAGGUGGCCUUAUAAGUCAGUGGUGAAAGCCUGCAGCUUAACUGUAGGACUGCCAUUGAUACUGUAGGGCUUGAGUACUGAUGAGGUAGGCGGAAUUGAUAGUGUAGCGGUGAAAUGCAUAGAUAUUAUCAAGAACACCGAUUGCGAAGGCAGCUUACUAAGGAGUUACUGACACUGAGGCACGAAAGCGUGGGGAUCAAACAGGAUUAGAUACCCUGGUAGUCCACGCCAUAAACGAUGAUUACUCGAUGUAUGCGAUAGAUAGUAUGNGUCCAAGCGAAAGCGUUAAGUAAUCACCUGGGAGUACGACCGCAAAGGUUGAAACGUUAAAGUGAGUAGAGNGNGAGAGNGCGAGGCGACACGAGGGAGAGG